GGACCAGGAUUCUAAAUGAGACCUGAGGGAAUGGAGCUGUUGUUGACAAGAGCUGUUAGACAAACAGGACAUGGAGGAGGAGUGGUCAUGCAUACCUCAAUGGGACAAAGUAUCUCCUCUGAGACUUCAGAAAAUCCUUUUCUUCUGGAGCCACUCUGUUCUGGAUUACCCUGAGAUUUUAAUGAGAUAAAGUCUAGAGAUGUAUAUAACUUUUCUGCAUCAUUUUGGAAUUUUAAUGAGAUGAAACGAGACCCAGAGACACCUGUUCUAGACCACUUUGGGAUCUUAAUGAGGUAAGGCUAACGGAGGAUGGACUAAAUUCAUUUUUUCCCAAGCUGUUCAGAGACCAAAUACACAGACAAGAAAUGCAAACAUAUGGAUGAAGUCUUCCAAAUUGCUACUUCCUCUAACUCCUUUUCUAAUCUUCAUGUUGUUUCUUUUUUAUUUAGAGUGUGUGUGUUGGUAGGUGUCAUCAGUGGAGGGCUGGUGGUUGGAAGUUAGAGGAGUAGCUGUUUAUGAAUUCUAGACCUGGACAGUCUUUGUCAUUAAGUUGAUAUGUGACCCCAUGGAUGCAAACAGGUUGAAGACAAGAGCUCUCUUUAAUGGAACCUGAACAGUGCCUAACUCCUGUAGAUAUUCACUGAAUGUUAAAUAACAACAGUGAUCAUGUAAUAAUGAUGCCCAAUUCACUUGGGAGAGAAUACCAAAUAGCUUGGAAUUUUCCUGUUACUGCCAGCAUGGCCUGAGAGCAUCCUGAGAGAGGUCAAAAGUCCGUCUGACUCACCUGUGCUGAGUGACUUGAAUGCCAUCUAAUCUAACUUCAAGGUGACUGGAUAGAUUGUACAUGUGGUAAUAAAAUGCUAAUCGUAGUGUCAUAAUUUUAGAGAUUCAAGAAGAAAUUAUUAGAAACACAAAUUAAGAGCUUUAAUAUGCUCAUAUGUACCUGUGCAUAACUUUUUUUAAAGCACCUAGAAACUGCAAGUCAAUAAACAUUGUUUUCCCAUGCUGCCCUAUACUCAUCCAACCCAGCGAUGAUGAAAUGCAUACUGACAAGAGCAAUAAGAAAAAUAAUAACAUUAUCACAGGAUCAAUGUCUAUUGCUAGCUUCAUAAAGGACUUGGCUUCCCAUUGAUGUUUAAUUUUUGUAAAUGCCUCUGGAAAUUUAAGUAGCAGUAGGAAAACAUAAUGUUCAAUUUCUCCUAACAUAACCUCUUAAACUUUGGACGUGUGCAGUUUUCAGUCUGGGACAAAUUUAGGAGAACAAAUCUCUUUGAAACAGACUGGCAGAUUUAUUUUAAAUAAGCUUGCUUUAAGGCUACAGGUCUAGGAGACAGAAUCAUAGAAGAUGAUUGGAACAACGGGAGCUGAAAAAUCUUGGAAGCCUGCUUUUUCUGUGACUCGUUUUGGUGUAUACAUCAGCAUAAAGGGGAGAGUCUCCUCUAUCCAUGUCAUGGCUGAUGGUAGCAUCUGUGCCAAAUUUUAAGCACUAGGGGACAAGUUGGGAGGCUCCGAAAAGCUCACCUGUCUCAGAACACCACGAUAUCCUAGCAUUUUUGUUAUUCCUCCUUGCUCUACCUCAACUGCUCUGGCAUUGACUCAAAUUCCUGGAACUGCAUAAUCAGCAUCUGGACGAAUAAUAAAUGAACUCCUGCUAGCUCUACCAUAGGAGAAGCAUUAGAGUACUUUGAAGUCCUAGAACCUUCAUCUUCUUAGACUUAAGAGUGGUAUUUCUGAAACUUGAGCUUGCAUCAGACUCACCUAAGGCAUCAUGUUAAAACACUGAUUGCUGAACUCUACCCUGAUAGUUUUUGGUUCUGUAGUUCUAAGGCAGAGCUCAUUAAUUUGAGUUUCUAACCAGUUCCCAUAUGAUGCUGAUGCAACUUGUCCUGCAGACCAUACAUUGAGGACCGCUAGCCUAGAGUUCCCCUUUUUUGACCCAGAUGCUGGACUGUUGUAAGCCAACAGUUAGGUCUUUCUGAAAUCCAUGGGCUCAAGCAGGGGCAGAAAAUAUCCAGAUGCCAAAAGGAAGCUUAUUAUUUUAUAGGGACCUCUGCAGAGUGAGCGCCACACUUUGGCUGAAGAGUACAGUUUGUUCCUCACCAUGACCUUGGGGUCCCGUCCCAACUAAUCCAGAGCCAUGUGGGUUUGCAGAGACAGGCAUUCCUCCCAUAUUCUGGCCUCUGACCUGAAAUCUUCUAACUUGAGAAGAGAACAGUCACCUUCCUGGGAAUCUGAAAUAGAAAGGCAAAUUUGUGAAGGCCUUUCUGACAUCUGAAUGGCUGGAUUUGCAUUUGCUGUAGUGAUAACUCAGUGCCAUCCAGACCUGACAGUGAUGAACGAUGCUGGAUUCUGCUCAAAUUCCAUCAAAGCCUGCAGGGUGAAGACUCUGGUCCCUGAACCCAGUGUCCUCUGGCCCUUCCUGUCAAAGCAUUGGAGUGACAGGGAGACAUUUGAGAGGCAGUGAGGAGGAAGGACAGAGGCAUCAGGGUGGGUGUGGCAGCUUCCAUAUUUAGCAGAGAGAAGCAGAGAUGAGGGUAAGAUUAUGAGUGGGAGAGGAGGGAAGGUUAGAGAACAAUGGAAAAAUUUUCUUCUUCAGUGUAAGAAUUCUGGACCCUUAUUUGAAGUCUCUCCUGCUUUGUUGGGCAAAAGUAAUGAGAAACUCCACUUGGCUUCAGAAUGCAGUGUCAACUCCACAUGAAUCAAAGCAAUAAAAAAGAAUCAACUCAGAGCAGGCUGAGCUAUGUGAGGUGAGGACAGUCUGUUCUGAAGGUCUACACAUUAAUGCUUCCUAUUGGGAAUUCAAAUCGGCAAUUUGUUCUUCUUCUGGUUGUUUGAAUCUUCAAAAUAGAGGGAAGACACCUGGAUGAAACAUUUUCACAGACUCUGCAAUUCCCUUAAGAGGAUCCCAGAGCCCUUAAGCUUCUCUUAGAUUCCUCUGAUUUUUUUCAGCCCAAGGACUGUUACCACAUGUCUUCCAUCUUGCCCACAAUUUUAGCAGG
rnacentral:lncRNA from 1 species